rnacentral:sRNA from 1 species
AGGAAGAAAAGAAAGUUUAUACCCGGUUAAUUUGUCACUGAAAACAAUUUUCUAACACCUCUGUUGUGUAAAGCAGAAGAGCUGUGUAGAUGUUCCAGAGUCGCUUGGUGUAAAUUUGGUUCUGAUUUGUGCCAUGAAGCCCAAUAACAAACUGGAGGCACACAUUUCAAAGCCAGUGAUUCUUGAGUAUCAGAACACCACCUUCUUUGGUGGAACCUGUAUAUCCAUGAUUGAUUACCUCCUCUGGCCCUGGUUUGAGCGGCUGGAUGUGUAUGGGAUACUGGACUGUGUGAGCCACACGCCAGCCCUGCGGCUCUGGAUAUCAGCCAUGAAGUGGGACCCCACAGUCUGUGCUCUUCUCAUGGAUAAGAGCAUUUUCCAGGGCUUCUUGAAUCUCUAUUUUCAGAACAACCCUAAUGCCUUUGACUUUGGGCUGUGCUGAGUCUCACUGUCCACCCCUUCGCCGUCCAGAAUUCCCCAGCUUGUUGGGAGUCUACAUCACGGCCUGUCUUGGGAACCAAUCCGUCUCUCUUUCUUUUCUUUGAAGUUCCCAAUAAAAUGAAAACAGGAAAUGUA